CAGUCUCCCUUACCGCUGCAAUUUACGGCCAGUUGCGGUAGAGAGAACUUCUAUUUCGAUAUCAAAAACGAAAGCAGAAUUGUAAAAUCAAGAAAACUCAAGAUCCGACAAAGAAGCAACAUGAAAAGAAAAGUGUCUGAAAACGCAGUUAUCACAGAGGAAAGAAACAGCUGACAGUUGCGCGACACAGAAGAGAAGCUGCUGGAGAGGACCAAAGAGAUAAGUCAAUCUAAAGAAGACUCAGAUGAUGGCCAAGAGGAAGCAGGUAAUUGUCAACAUGAAAGGCAGAGGUCCAAAAGAAAACGACAAAGAGGUCAUCAGAGAACAUUACCCAAUAACAGCCAGAGAAGACUAAUGUGCAACUUAGCCACUUCCUUCAUCAAGAUGAAGUCUCCACUGUAAUAACUGGGAAAUCCAGAGAAAUUCAGAGAAAGGGCCAGAUAUUCCGUAAGAGAUCUUUAAAUGGACACUAUGGCAAAUCUUCAUAGAACAUUUAUGUCUGAGAAUCCAAGGCACAACCUUUCCAAGGCUCAAUUCUUUACAUUUAAGCCAUUUUGGAUUGGCCGGCGAAGAGUCACAGAAGAAAACUGUCUUGAAGAUAAAGAAGCUGCACCAGCUUGGGGUCAUAGAAACAUCAUCCCCAAGGGACACUGUACAGGCCAGUGUGUGUAGUGACGAUGACAUGUGCUGUUCUAAUGUGUUUUUACGUGUUCUCUGUUUUUAGCCUGCGUUUUUAGCCUACUUUUGAAGCACUGCAAAAUUAAAUUGAUUGAACUUGAA